rnacentral:lncRNA from 1 species
UGGAAGCUUGGCGCUCACUCAGCUCCCAGAAGUUCUCAGAGGGUGAGGGUCCCACAUCUCCUGCAGGACAGGCCCUAGCUACUGAGUCACAGAAACCCAGGGCCGAAGCAAAGUCCCAAUCCCAGAGAGGCUGGGGCACACCUACAACUGAAAGGAGGCUUAGAAAUCCUUCAGAGACCACCCUAUCGGUUCUCCUCCACCUGGACAGGAUGAGCCAGCAACACAGAAGGAAGAGGCCUUCCUCCGAAAGGUAUAUUUGUAAGCCGAGUUGAAUGCUUUGUGGAGAGAGCCCCUAAAAUGGAGCCUGGCAGAUAACAAGCACGAGAUAAACACCAGCUGACUCCACGGAUGGAGGGCACGUGGACGGACUGGGUAUGCAGAAGAGACUCUCUGACUGCAGACUCGGCUGCCACACAUAGAAAUGUCUGCUCC